rnacentral:rRNA from 1 species
GACAAACGCUGGCGGCAUGCCUAACACAUGCAAGUCGAACGGACAGAACAGGGAAGCUUUUCGGAGUGGAACUGGAAAGUUAGUGGCGGAUGGGUGAGUAACGCGUGGACAACCUACCUUGUAAAGGGGAAUAACCUCGAGAAAUCGAAGCUAAUACCCCAUAAUAACCUUGCUUCGCAUGAAGUAAGGAGGAAAGGCGGCCUUAGCGCUGUCGAUACAAGAUGGGUCCGCGUCUGAUUAGCUAGUUGGUGAGGUAAAGGCUCACCAAGGCGACGAUCAGUAGCCGGCCUGAGAGGGUGAACGGCCACAUUGGGACUGAGACACGGCCCAAACUCCUACGGGUGGCAGCAGUGGGGAAUCUUCCGCAAUGGGCGAAAGCCUGACGGAGCAAUGCCGCGUGAGUGAAGAAGGCCUUCGGGUUGUAAAACUCUGUCCUUAUAGAAGAGAGAGUGUUGUAGUAACUGACAAUACUAGGACGGUAGAUGAGGAGGAAGCCCCGGCUAACUAUGUG